UACGGGGGGAGCAACCGUUGUUCGGAAUCACUGGGCGUAAAGGGCGUGUAGGCGGCUGGAUAAGUGGGAUGUUAAAUCCCCCGGCUCAACCGGGGACCUGCAUCUCAUACUGUUCAGCUCGAGCACAUCAGAGGAGACUGGAAUUCCCGGUGUAGCGGUGAAAUGCGUAGAUAUCUGGAGGAAUACCGGUGGCGAAGGCGGCAUCCUGGACCGACAUUGACGCUGAGGCGCGAAAGCUAGGGGAGCAAACGGG
rnacentral:rRNA from 1 species